rnacentral:tRNA from 1 species
GGCUCCGUAGCUUGGAGGUAAAGAAGCGCCGAUCUUGCGAACGGGAAGUCGUGGGUUCGAUUCCCACCGGAGCUC